ensembl:lncRNA
UUUUUUUUCUUUUUUUUUUUCUUUUCCUUUUCUGAUGCUGUCCCUAAUGUGAAUGUGGGUAUGUUGGAUGCUUUCCUAUAGGAGCAGUAUUUUCCUUUUCCUGUUUGGGAAUAAACCAGAACAACUUAAGUCUGUAAACUGGCAAAACUGCAUUCAUGUGAAUGGAGCUACAGCACUUACAGGAUUGCAGUGCAGCUGUUGUCUUGCUUCCAGAUUUCUUAGGCUGCUGAAAAUGGAUGCUCUGAACUUUCAGAGACUGACAAGGUGCUGUAAUCAUACAAUCUUAAUUCUCCUUGGUUGUGUGAUACAAUGUGCAGUAAUGUUAAAACUAGUCUAAUAAUCUAAGCUGUUAUUCAGUAUUUAAAUACAUGAAACAGAGAGAACACAGCUAAGAUCAUGCCACUAACCUUGCCUCUUUUCCCUUAUUUCUUUUUUGACAUGUAAAUGGACACAGAAAUAUUUGAAAACUUAGGCAGAAACAUACUUACUUUCACAUUUGCAGACAUGAAAAGGUUUCAGCUCAUAAGUUUCCAUAGGUUUAUUUUGAAAUCUUUAUUCCUUACAAUAAGCACCAAUUAGAAAUUGAAUGUGAAGAAUAGAUAAGAUUAUAUUUUCCACAUAGAUAUUAUGAUAAUAUUAUGAUUAAUAUGAAAAGUAUGUGUGAUAGAAAAGGAUUACAGACCAAUAGCACCACUUCCCCUGUAAUCUUUAUCCCUUUCCUGACUAAGUGCUAUCUGCCAAUACAAAUCCCCAAGUUCCUGACCUCUCUUCUUUUUUUUUUUUCUUGCUUUCCGUCCCUGCAAGCGCUGUGGAGGAAAUGAUUCCUGUCACGUAGCCAAAGGGGGCAUAUUUACAUGGUUCCACAUGAUGUGACAAGGAAAUCCUGUUGCAGAGGAUUCGGGAGGAAAGCAAGGAGGUUGCCUUCUCUGUCACUCUUUUUUAGAGCUCCUGCCUCCGCUCCUCAACAGGUUAACUUCCUGAAUCACCACUUCUGGGACAUUAUCAGAACAGAUCUCUUUGUUUCUUAAUUUUCUUCCUUCAGUUUUGAAAGUGGACAUUUCCAGGACAUUCUCCUUCCUGCUCUUUUGCCAUUUAUUAAGUGAUUAUGUUGUUGUCUGCUAUGGAUUUUUUUCUUUGCAGAUUUUACUUGUAGUACUCAUAUUUUCUUGCUCCUCCACUGGUUGUCAUUAAACUCUGCACCAAACACCAGAGAUUAUCCAAUGCAAAAAAAAAAUUUUUUGACCUUUUUAAAGAUGCUCUGGCAGAAAAUCUGACAUCUGGUGUUUAAGGAUCAGCCUCCAGGGCAAUCAGUCCUCUAUGGCAGGCUCCAGCUGCUCAGGUGCUGGGGACAGAGGGGCCCAGGGUGGAGUUCUACCGUCUUGCUGUAUUUAGUCAUGGGACGGUGGAUAGUGUGUACAUAUGGGAGGUCUAGAGACUCCCCAGUAAGUUAAUUUCUGCAUCAACUCACUCACAUGGCACAGCGGCUCAAGGAAGAAAAUGUCCCCACACUGCACAGGAGAUCCUUCCUGCAGGCUGCAUGCCCCAGGGCCAUGCAGGAGGCACAGCACAUUUUUAAAGCAGCUUUUUGUGUAGCCCAAAGGAGGUCAUUUAACAAGAAAAUAGAGCAGGGCUUCGGCUUAGUAAAAGAUGGACAAUGCCCACAGAAACUGUUCCAGCUUGGCACUCCCUGGCCUUGUUCAACAGCAGCAGGUCCCAGGCCUUUGCUCCCAACCAGUCAGGGAGUUGUGUUGAGGCACCUAGCCCACUCACCUGCCACCAGCAGCACCACAGGGUUCCCUGUGGAAGCCUGGAAGGUUUACCCUGGAGGGCCAUCAGGAUCUUCUUGGUCUUUUCCACUUGUCUAGCAAACAGCCUAAAUCCCCAGUUACACAGAUCAUUUAGAAGGAGGCAAUCCAUGAGACAUCUCAGGGCAAGAGCUCUGCUCUCAUUCAGAAGUGCAUAUGGAGCCAACAAAGACAUUAGUCCAAAACUUGCUCCCAAAAAUCCUCUGUGUUGUCUGCUUCUCCUCUGUUCUUGCUCUCCAAAACAAGGCUGAUUGCCUCUGAAAACUCCCUUACCACUAGGAAUGCCAGUAGAAAGUUUGUGCUCAGAAGAAGAGGACUUUACAGUGACCAGGCUUUCUGCAAGUGUAAGGAGCCUGUGAGAAUGAAAAAGACAAAGUAUAUGAGAGUAAGUAGCACUUUCCACUGGUGACAGUGGAGUUGGGCAGCAUGGUAAAAUAGUUUGUAUCUGUAUAAAAAGCAAGGCUGUCAGACUUGUCUUUGUCUGAGCAUCUCUACUUCUGGUCUUGGAGCAGGGCUGGUGUCCCGUUAGGGUGGCUGGCUGGCUGGUGUAAGCUCUGAUAAACUCCAUUUUCUUUUGAACUGGGGAUGGGAAGGAAAGGAAAACAGAGAGCUUCCCUGGAAAGAAAUCCCACACACUGGUGGGAUGCCAGCCAGUGAAGUGUUGUUAUUGUCCAGAUGUUAUUGUCUAGAGCUUUUCCAGCUCUGCUGGAACAGGCUGCUGGGAAGAUUUUUGUUGGCUGAUAAUCACCGGUGAUGGAGAAGAGCUGAGGACAGAGAAGAGAGAGGAGAUGGUGGCAGCAGUGGGGAGAAGAACAGUCACUGCAAGAGCACCAUCCAGGCAUGUCUCUGCUGGGGCAUUAUGGUGAAAGCAUGUUCUCACUCUGCCCAUUGCCCAUUCCUGCUGGGAAGAGCCUGUUGUCUCUGCCAACAAGGUGAGACUCUUCUGCUGCUCACAGAGAGCAAGGAGACUCAGCAUGCAUGUGAGUGGCAGCAGUGCCAAGGUGCUGAUACAUACCAUCUAGACUGUGCUGCUUCGCGAGUCCUUCAGUGGACUUGGAUUUCUGUCACUCCAUAAGCCUAUUGGAUGUACAGACCACCCCAGAAGGUGGAGGUCUAGGAGCUCUGAAGUUUUUUUUCCUGAUUACCUAGCUAGAAUGUUUCUUGUUUUCUUCUCUAGCACUGGGUAUCUAGAUGCAGUUGGAAAUUGCAAAAGUAACCCUUGAAAACACUGUCAGAAACAACCUAAAUGUAGGAGAUCAUAUCAAACCUUGCAAAAAUACUCUUUGUCAUCUUUGACCUUGAUUGCCAUAUAAAUUCUGAUUUCAAAGCAGAUCAAACAUUGGAAGAAAUGGUCAAUCCUUGGAGGUAAGAGGACUUCACCAACAGGGUCCUGUCUUGUUCAACAUAUUCAUAGAUGAGCAUAGUUCAAUCAUUCAAUGGCAAAGACAGAAUUUGAAUAGCCCUAAGUUGUUUAUGGUAGUGAGGCUAACUGUGGGAUGCAGAGAGUCUUCACCACACUGUUUCACAUGGAGGCAAAAUGGCAGAUGAAAUGCAGUGCAUGUACAAGCCUAGUAAGGUCCCACUGCCAUGUGUGAAUUUAACUCUGCAUCAAAAGUAGCAGGUGUGAAAAGGGAAGCGGCAACAAGUUUUUUGUUUGUUUGUUUGUUUUUGUUUUGUUUUGUUUUGUUUUGUUUUUGAGGAGAUAAUAAAUGCAGGAAAGAUAUAUCUAAUGCUGAAGCUCCCUGAGCUGGAAAUAAC